AUUGAACGCUGGCGGAAUGCUUUACACAUGCAAGUCGAACGGCAGCACGGACUUCGGUCUGGUGGCGAGUGGCGAACGGGUGAGUAAUGUAUCGGAACGUGCCCAGUCGUGGGGGAUAACGUAGUGAAAAUUACGCUAAUACCGCAUACGAUCUAUGGAUGAAAGCGGGGGAUCGCAAGACCUCGCGCGAUUGGAGCGGCUGAUAUCAGAUUAGGUAGUUGGUGGGGUAAAGGCCCACCAAGCCAACGAUCUGUAGCUGGUCUGAGAGGACGACCAGCCACACUGGAACUAGAACACGGACCAGACUCCUACGGGAGGCAGAAGUGGGGAAUUUUGGGCAAUGGGCGAAAGCCUGAUUCAGCCAUUCCGCGUGCAGGAUGAAGGCCCUCGGGUUGUAAACUGCUUUUGUACAGAACGAAAAGGUUUCUACUAAUACUAGGAGCUCAUGACGGUACUGUAAGAAUAAGCACCGGCUAACUACGUGCCAGCAGCCGCCGUAA
rnacentral:rRNA from 1 species